GCCAAACACACUCAGGAGGACAGUGUGUGUUGGGGUGUGGACGGAGAGACGGGCUGUCUGUCCGACAUGAACUCUUUGGGGAUCUGGGAGCCGCUCGCCGUCAAAGCUCAGACCUACAAGACGGCCGUGGAGACGGCCAUCUUGUUGCUGCGCAUCGAUGACAUCGUCUCCGGUCACAAGAAGAAAGACAAAGACGAGCAGAUGGGAGGACAGGGAGCCGAGUAGAUCCGAGUCUGUCCGCCUCGAGUCACUGCGACUGUCCGAGUGUCUCCGUCUGUGUGUGUGUGUGUGUGUGUCUCUGUCUGUGUGUGUGUGUGGGGACCAGACGACUCACUGAAACAGUUAAUAAAGUCAAAGUUAACGUC